rfam:Cephalotus follicularis DNA, scaffold: scaffold3318, isolate: St1.
AUGACAUGAUGGGGAUAUUUUCUGAUGAGGUUCUUUAAUCUUUCCCAUGACUCAUGGAACUGCUCACCAUCUUGUUGCGAAAAGCUAGUGAGUGCUCGUCUUAUCUG